rnacentral:misc_RNA from 1 species
CAAAAACUCACAAGCUUCUUCUUGCCCGUCAUGGGUUCAAGUCGAGCGGUUUGUGGAUUUGAGUGUCUGUUUGUUCUGGUCUAUUUUGACCGGAUCAAUCGCUCUGAAAAAAUUGUGCGUAGGGCAGAAGAUACGGCUUGGAAUGUGCUUUCAGUACUUUCUUAGGCGUGCAUUUAGUCCAACUCUCAGUGCAACAAAUCUUUGAAACACUUUGAGGAAUACUGGUGCGGGCAUAUGUCCAUCCCUGUUUUACGCACCUCAAUCCAACACGGUGCCUGCUCGCAAUUUUUGCGAGUGGUUCCGAUA